UACGGAGGAGGCAAGCGUUAUCCGGAAUUAUUGGGCGUAAAGCGUCCGCAGGUGGCACUUCAAGUCUGUCGUCAAAGACUGGGGCUUAACCCUGGAAAGGCGGUGGAAACUGAAGCGCUAGAGUGCGGUAGGGGUAGAGGGAAUUUCCGGUGGAGCGGUGAAAUGCGUAGAGAUCGGAAAGAACACCAACGGCGAAAGCACGCUGCUGGGCCGACACUGACACUGAGAGACGAAAGCUAGGGGAGCGAAUGGG
rnacentral:rRNA from 1 species